CCUACGGGUGGCAGCAGUGGGGAAUAUUGGACAAUGGGGGGAACCCUGAUCCAGCCAUGCCGCGUGUGUGAAGAAGGCCCUCGGGUUGUAAGGCACUUUCAGUGAGGAAGAACGCCUGGUGGUUAAUACCCAUCAGGAAAGACAUCACUCACAGAAGAAGCACCGGCUAACUCCGUGCCAGCAGCCGCGGUAAUACGGAGGGUGCGAGCGUUAAUCGGAAUUACUGGGCGUAAAGCGCGCGUAGGUGGCUUGAUAAGCCGGUUGUGAAAGCCCCGGGCUCAACCUGGGAACGGCAUCCGGAACUGUCAAGCUAGAGUGCAGGAGAGGAAGGUAGAAUUCCCGGUGUAGCGGUGAAAUGCGUAGAGAUCGGGAGGAAUACCAGUGGCGAAGGCGGCCUUCUGGACUGACACUGACACUGAGGUGCGAAAGCGUGGGUAGCAAACAGGAUUAGAUACCCUGGUAGUC
rnacentral:rRNA from 1 species